rnacentral:lncRNA from 1 species
CAUGCAUAGUGGGAGGGUCUGAGUGACCAGACAUACAGCAAUCGUGUCAGGCUGGUCUGUGACUUGGACAAGGAAGGCCACCUUCCUCAGUUAGAACAGUAUGUGUUCUAGUGUACCUAUAGAUGACUGUGAAGAUCAAAUGGACUCAGGUGCUGAGAGCUAAUGAAGCCAGCUGGGAGCUAACCUUAAUAUCUGAACUGAAUUUUUCAAAGGCUCAACUGAAAAGAAUUGGAAACAUCAGCCCAGAUGGAGGAAUCUGAAAAUCUUGUUUCCAGUGAUGUUGCACACUGGGGAAGGUCAGACAACAUUCUAGACAUAAAGAGGCUGUGUGCCUCACAUCCCACCAGCUAAGAAGCUCUUUUGCAGGCAUUUUCUUGGCCUUUCUUGGGAAAGUUCCAGAAGCCCUUGAGUCUGGAUCCAUGCCCUAUUCUCGGAAACUCACUGUGUUUUCUGUGUCAUGGUCUUGGCGAGUUGUCUGUCCUCCUCUGCUGUCUUAUCACUGUUCUGAUGGCUUCAUGAGAGUAAGAACUUGCUCAUUCCUAUGUUGGAAGAGAUUACCAAUAAACCUUUGUGCAUAAUAAAUCUUUAUGGAAGCUA